ensembl:lncRNA
UUUUUUUUUUUCUUUUCUUUUUUAAAAUUUUUAUUUAUUUAUUUUUGUCUUUUUGUCUUUUUCGGGCCACACCCAGGGCAUGUGGAGCCCUAAAAAGACAAAAAAAAAAAAUCUAGUACAGAGGUGAUGAUGUUUCAAUUAGACAGAUGGCAACUGAGAUGGAAAGAAGCAAAUGGAAUUCAGAUAUAUUCUGGAGCAAGAGACAUUCCUUUUAUUCAAAAGAGAAGAUAAAAGAGAAGCUAUUUUGAUUAAAGAAAGAUGAGGGGAUCUAGAUCCAUACCUGUUUAAUCUCCCCUUUGCCCCAAAGGCUUAUCUCCCCAACUCUAAGAUUUAGGAGACAGUCUGAAAAUCAGUGGGCUAGAUGAUGUUGAAAAUCUUGCCAACGUUUUGUAAUUUUAUUGACUUCUGACUUACAAGGUAUAUAUCCUGGCCUAUUUUCAGUUUAGAUCUUUUGUAAAUUAAAUGUUAACUCAAGGAGCCAAAUUAAAAAAAAAUUACUGAAUUAAAUCUUUGGAUACUAACCAUUGAGGAGAGUGCUAAAAUACAUAGACACCUGAUAAGAACAUAUUUUAAAAAAUAUAUAUGGGAGUUCCUGUUGUGGCUCGGCAGAUUAAGGACAUGAUGUUGUCUCUGUGAGGAUGCAGGUUUGAUCCCUGGUCUCUCUUAGUGGGUUAAGGUGCCGGCAUAGCUGCAAGCUGCAGCACAGGUCACAGAGUGGCUCAGAUCCGGUGUUGCUGUGGCUGUGGUGUAGGCCUGAUUCAAUCCCUGGCCCAGGAACUUCCAUAUGGCUGGGGUGUGGCUGUAAAAAGAAAAAAAAUAUAUAUAUGUGUUUUUGUCUAAUUAAAUAACUAACACAUGUUUUUUAUGUGAAAUCCAAAAGUAAAACAUGAAGAGAGAAAUAGAUUUUUAUAAAAGUCGCACAGAAAUAAACAGGAUUCAUUUACAUCUUGGUUUCAUCCGGGUUCGGACUGGAGUCCUGGAGGAUGGCCGUGCGAUGAUUUGUCUGGGGAAGGGGGUGGGUGCAGUAGAGCAGGCCUUGAAAUUAGAGAGAAAAACAUAUGGAGUGUAGACAUCUACUUGCAUCUCUGGGGACUCUGAGCUAGAUUCAAAGUCUGGCCAUAUCCAGGACUGUGGCCACUCCUCUCAGGCUCCAAAGACUCUUACCAAGCAAAGGACAGGAUGCAGAAAUCUUGGUUUUCCAGACAAAAUUGUAAUAUUAGAACCAGAAGGACUUGACACAAGCCUUGGUUUACAGAUGUGGGUGGCCCCAUGAGUCACCAUUUGUUUGUCUGGCAGGGGAGGACUGUGUUUGCCACUUCCCGGGACGUGCAGCACGUCACAAGAGGCUACAAGGUACAGACUCUGAAAACAGGCUGCCUGGAUUAAACCCCAGCCCUGUAACUUAUUAGCUCAGUGGUUGGAGGCAAGAGGCAUAACCGUGCUGAGCCUCCGUUUUGUUUUUGUUUUUGUUUUCUUUAAAAUGGGACUAGUAAUGAUUCCUACCUCACAGAGUAGAUGUCUUGGAGUCAUUAUAAGUGAGACACUUCCAAAGAGUGCCUGGCACACAGUAACCUCUAAGUAAAUGACAACCACGAUUUUUACUUAGUAAGGGAGUUGAGACUUGUUAACAAGCCUCCCAUCUCCCUGAAUCUGAUGUUCAUCACAGGUUUUUUUUUUCCCCUAAGUUUCUUGUACUGAACACACCUGUCUCACAGUCUCUCUGUGCCAAGUAGAGUCGGGGGUUAAAAACAUAAACCUGGGAGUUCCCGUCAGGGCUCAGCAGAAACAAAUCUGACUGGAAUCCAUGAGGAUGCAGGUUCAAUCCCUGGCCUAGCUAAGUGGGUUAAGGAUCCAGCAUUGCUGUGAGCUAUGGUGUAGGUCGCAGAUGUGGCUCAGAUCUGGGAUCGAGUGUUGCUGUGGCUGUGGUAUAGGCCAGUGGCUACAGCUCUGAUUCAGCCCCCAUCCUGGGAACUUCCAUAUGCCAAGGGUGCGGCCCAAAAAACAACAACAACAAAAAACCCAUAAACCUGAUCUUGGAACCUCCCUAGUUAGUGCCUUCAGUGGCUUCUCACUGACCUGGAAAUAAGUCUUCACUGUGACCCUGGACUGCAUGGGCCUCCUCUGCCUGGUACCUUCCUACCACGCCCUGCACGCCCCUCUCCCUGCACGCCCCUCUCCCUGCACACCCCUCUCUCCCUGCACGCCUCUCUCCCAGGGCUCCAGUGGUUGUGUUCUACUUAGUUUUCGGGCAAGGCUCAGUGUUCCUUCUGUCUCUGAACUUUUGCUUGUGCUGUUCUCUUUAUCACAUUCCUCCCUCCCUCCAUCUCUUUGGUCUCGCCAGUCUCUCCUCAUCCUGCAGAAUUCAGCUUAAGUAUUACCCCCAAAUGUGGGUAGAGAGCAGCCUUUUUGGAGGCUUUCUUUGAUCCCCCAUUAUACUAGCUGCCCCUCUCCACAUGGCAUCUCCUGUGAGACUAUAUAUACUCUACUUUCUAUGAAGAAAUAAUAUGUAUCCCACAUGAUGUAUAACAUGCAUGUAUGCAUCAGCAAAAGGCUGGAAGUGAUGAAACCAAGAUGAAAAUGUAAUUUACUUGUGAUUAUUUCUAAGCUGUGGGACCCUGAGUGACUCUGGUAGUUUCUCUUUCUCUCUUUCCCUUCUCUCUCAUAAAGAAAUCUAUAGAAUCACGAAAACUUUUUCUUUCCCUUUCCUUGUCCUAACACUUUGAGUAGUUUCUUGCCUAUUAGGAGAACCAUGAAGAUUGCAUUAAUGUUAUUAUUAUUAUCAUAGUUCUUUGAUCAUUGCAUUUUUCUGUACCUAGCCUAAUGUACAUAGUGGUGCUGAGUAGAUAUUUGUGGAAUAAAUGAAUAAUAGAAAGAUUGAAUAAUAGACUUGCUGAAAUAGCACCUAUAUGUGUACUAGGGGUGACACUUAAGCAGACUCCCUUCUUGAUUACCCAUUACCUUUGAAUAUAAAGGCCAAGUAUAGAACUGGAGAUUUUUUUUUAAGUAUUAUUCAAAUUCAAUGCAAUAGAACAGAAUGGUUGUUAAAUAACAUUGCAUUAAUAUCUCCUAAUUUGUUUCCUAAUAUCUACUAAUUUUU